UUCCUGCCUCCCCCCACCGAAUACCAAUUCAGCAUUAAAAGUUUUCAUCUUUACCCUUCUCAUUUCUUUUUCAUCUGGGCAUUUUCUUCUUUUUUUUAUUCACCUCUGAUUCCCAUCUCCUUCCAACAGUCCUCUUAGCCUCCACAAGUUCAUCCUCAAGCUCAACAGUUUCAAUUUCCUCUUAGUUUUCUCGAGAAAAUCCGACUUCGGUGUGAGAGGAAAGGGCUAUCGAUCCAACACCCAGAUGUUAAAUCGAUGCUGAAUCGAGUGAAGCUGUUCGCUGACAAGGUAAGACUUUGACCUUCUUCAAUCGAAAUUAAGACCCCCAUUUUCGUUAACUAUCCCAGAUCCCCAAGAAUAUUGUUUUAAUCGAACCCUAUUAAGCACUUACAUACUAUUGUCAUUGAUAGGUAUAAGAUGUUUUUAAGAUUACUUGUUGGAAUUGUUAAUAAAUUGUAUAGAAAGCUUGUUGAUUCGGCAAAGGAACAAUUAAUUUGGGCUAAAGAAAUGGUUGAUGUUUCUUCUACAGGAAUUGAUAGUUUGUUAGUGUGUUUAAUGAGGCAAAUUGUUGGUGGUGAUUUUAGUGAUAGGAAUCUUUGGUUAUGUUUGGAAAAAGGUCCCAUUGCACUCUCUGCUUUCUGCCCAUGCUAUGCAAACACACGCAACUGCACUCUGUUUUGGACGGUACUCAUGACAUGGCAAAAAAAACACUAAAAUCUUUGCAAUUUUCAUAAUUUUUAAGGUUUCCAGAUCCUGUAUAUGGGGUUCUAAAGUUUGCUAAGAGAGCAUUAGGCCACAUACUAAUUUUGUUUCUUGACAUUGUUUAAUGUAAGAUCCUAUAUAUCAAGAUUGAUAUUUGUCCAGAAUAUUUAUCUGGACUCAUAUUGCAUAUGCAGACCAUCCCAUUUUGAUGUCAACUAAGCUAUAUUAACAGAUAAAACUGGUCUUCAUUUCUUGCAUGCCUUGAUCCUGUUUUUCAAUCAUUAAUUAUGAGCAAUGGAUUGUGUUUUAGAUGUUGUAUUGGGACAUUUUCUGGGGUUUUCAGAACUUUCAGAGCAAAAGUGUUUUCUAAAACUGGACCGGUGGUCAAGCUUUUGGUUCGCUAGUUUGAUUUGACCAAUUUGUUUAAUUUAACUAAAU
rnacentral:lncRNA from 1 species